rnacentral:rRNA from 1 species
UACGUAGGGUGCGAGCGUUACUCGGAAUUACUGGGCGUAAAGGGUGCGUAGGUGGCGCUGUAAGUCGGGUGUGAAAUUUCGGAGCUUAACUCCGAAACUGCAUUCGAUACUGCGGUGCUUGAGGACUGGAGAGGAGACUGGAAUUCAUGGUGUAGCAGUGAAAUGCGUAGAGAUCAUGAGGAAGACCAGUGGCGAAGGCGGGUCUCUGGACAGUUCCUGACACUGAGACGCGAAAGCGUGGGUAGCAAACAGG